rnacentral:lncRNA from 1 species
GCUAAGACCGUAAUACAGAUCACAGUUCCCAAGCUGAAUUGAAUCUUCACAAUCGGCAAAAGUAGACACAUAUCCGCUGACUCUUAAGCCUGUCAGGAUGUUCUAGAAUGCUGCUUUCUUGUGGUUACUGCAGCUGUUCAAAGACCAUCUCACGUCUCUGUGACCCUGACACUGAAGACAGGGGGACAUCAUCCUCCUUUUUCUCACCUGGAAAGACACCUCCCAGUCCAUUUCCUCCCAUUUGCCAAAGAAGGACUGGAUCAAAAAGUUUGGGGAAACGUGAGAGAACAUCCUCAUGAUGGUACUUGGACAUGUCUGUACUUUUGCUACUUUGAAACUGAGCUGAUUUUCCAUGUGGUUGUGCACCUGAUCCCAUCAGGUAGGUCUUAAAUGUAUGACUGUCUUUUGAGAUUUUAUACCUAUCACUAAUGUGAUGAAUUUUCACUGCAGCUG